rnacentral:tRNA from 1 species
GGAGAGGUGCCAGAGCGGCCGAUUGGGGCGGUCUCGAAAACCGUUGUAGUCUUCGGGCUACCGUGGGUUCGAAUCCCACCCUCUCCGCCA